GAUGAAGAACGCAGCAAAAUGCGAUAAGUAAUGUGAAUUGCAGAAUUCAGUGAAUCAUCGAAUCUUUGAACGCACAUUGCGCCCGCUGGUAUUCCGGCGGGCAUGCCUGUUCGAGCGUCAUUUCAACCCUCAAGCCCCCGGGUUUGGUGUUGGGGAUCGGCUCUGCCCUUCUGGGCGGUGCCGCCCCCGAAAUACAUUGGCGGUCUCGCUGCAGCCUCCAUUGCGUAGUAGCUAACACCUCGCAACUGGAACGCGGCGCGGCCAUGCCGUAAGACCCCAACUUCUGAAUGUUGACCUCGGAUCAGGUAGGAAUACCCGCUGAACUUAAGCAUAUCAAUAGCGGAGGA
rnacentral:misc_RNA from 1 species